CUCUGGGUCGCACCUGCCGCUGGCUCAGGCUGCGUCGCCUUCCUGGCUACCGGGUCUGUCGGGGGCACGCUGGUCUACAGAGAUAUCAACAUCUUCGAGGUCUGCGAGCAAGAGAGCGGUCCCGCUGAGCUGCAGGC
rnacentral:lncRNA from 1 species